ensembl:snRNA RNU6-1311P RNA, U6 small nuclear 1311, pseudogene
GUGCUCUCUUUGGCAGCACAUAUACUAAAACUGAAAUGAUACAGAGAAGAUUAGCAUGGCCCCUGCACAAGGAUGAUAGGCAAAUUCAUGAACUGUUCCAUAGUAAA